GAUGAACGCUGGCGGCGUGCCUAAUACAUGCAAGUCGAGCGAACGGACGAGAAGCUUGCUUCUCUGAUGUUAGCGGCGGACGGGUGAGUAACACGUGGAUAACCUACCUAUAAGACUGGGAUAACUUCGGGAAACCGGAGCUAAUACCGGAUAAUAUUUUGAACCGCAUGGUUCAAAAGUGAAAGACGGUCUUGCUGUCACUUAUAGAUGGAUCCGCGCUGCAUUAGCUAGUUGGUAAGGUAACGGCUUACCAAGGCAACGAUGCAUAGCCGACCUGAGAGGGUGAUCGGCCACACUGGAACUGAGACACGGUCCAGACUCCUACGGGAGGCAGCAGUAGGGAAUCUUCCGCAAUGGGCGAAAGCCUGACGGAGCAACGCCGCGUGAGUGAUGAAGGUCUUCGGAUCGUAAAACUCUGUUAUUAGGGAAGAACAUAUGUGUAAGUAACUGUGCACAUCUUGACGGUACCUAAUCAGAAAGCCACGGCUAACUACGUGCCAGCAGCCGCGGUAAUACGUAGGUGGCAAGCGUUAUCCGGAAUUAUUGGGCGUAAAGCGCGCGUAGGGCGGUUUUUUAAGUCUGAUGUGAAAGCCCACGGCUCAACCGUGGAGGGUCAUUGGAAACUGGAAAACUUGAGUGCAGAAGAGGAAAGUGGAAUUCCAUGUGUAGCGGUGAAAUGCGCAGAGAUAUGGAGGAACACCAGUGGCGAAGGCGACUUUCUGGUCUGUAACUGACGCUGAUGUGCGAAAGCGUGGGGAUCAAACAGGAUUAGAUACCCUGGUAGUCCACGCCGUAAACGAUGAGUGCUAAGUGUUAGGGGGUUUCCGCCCCUUAGUGCUGCAGCUAACGCAUUAAGCACUCCGCCUGGGGAGUACGACCGCAAGGUUGAAACUCAAAGGAAUUGACGGGGACCCGCACAAGCGGUGGAGCAUGUGGUUUAAUUCGAAGCAACGCGAAGAACCUUACCAAAUCUUGACAUCCUUUGACAACUCUAGAGAUAGAGCCUUCCCCUUCGGGGGACAAAGUGACAGGUGGUGCAUGGUUGUCGUCAGCUCGUGUCGUGAGAUGUUGGGUUAAGUCCCGCAACGAGCGCAACCCUUAAGCUUAGUUGCCAUCAUUAAGUUGGGCACUCUAAGUUGACUGCCGGUGACAAACCGGAGGAAGGUGGGGAUGACGUCAAAUCAUCAUGCCCCUUAUGAUUUGGGCUACACACGUGCUACAAUGGACAAUACAAAGGGCAGCGAAACCGCGAGGUCAAGCAAAUCCCAUAAAGUUGUUCUCAGUUCGGAUUGUAGUCUGCAACUCGACUACAUGAAGCUGGAAUCGCUAGUAAUCGUAGAUCAGCAUGCUACGGUGAAUACGUUCCCGGGUCU
rnacentral:rRNA from 1 species